rnacentral:rRNA from 1 species
UACAGAGGGUGCGAGCGUUUAAUCGGAAUUACUGGGCGUAAAGCGCACGUAGGCGGCUUUGUAAGUCAGAGGUGAAAGCCUGGAGCUCAACUCCAGAACUGCCUUUGAGACUGCAUCGCUUGAAUCCAGGAGAGGUGAGUGGAAUUCCGAGUGUAGAGGUGAAAUUCGUAGAUAUUCGGAAGAACACCAGUGGCGAAGGCGGCUCACUGGACUGGUAUUGACGCUGAGGUGCGAAAGCGUGGGGAGCAAACAGG